GCUCCUUCUGGCCUGCAGCCAAUAAGACGAUACAACAGCUGUUGCAAAGCAGGCAAAUGUUCCAACAGUUCUUCACAGUCCAGUUCCCUGGUUCUGCUGUAUCCCUUAUCCUGACCUUGGGCAGGUCUUGGCAGGCGUUCAGAUUCAAUGUCAUACUUAAGUAUCCUGAAACAUUCGAGACGCUCCUCUAAAAACAAUGCAUAUGUACGUACCCAUGCAGAGCAAUCCCAAGCAAUUGGGCUUGAAUCAUCCUUAAAAUUAG
rnacentral:misc_RNA from 1 species